GAUGAACGCUAGCGACAGGCCUAACACAUGCAAGUCGAGGGGCAUCGGGACGCAGCAAUACGUUGCCGGCGACCGGCGGAUGGGUGAGUAACGCGUAUGCAACCUACCCGUAGCAGGGGGAUAGCCCGUUGAAAGACGGAUUAAUACCCCGUAACACAGGGGCUCCGCAUGGAGAUUAUUGUUAAAGGGUCAUUUCUUUUUCAGGGAUGGUCCGGCUGCGGAUGGGCAUGCGUUCCAUUAGGUAGUUGGUGUAGGUAACUGCUCACCAAGCCGACGAUGGAUAGGGGAACUGAGAGGUUGGUCCCCCACACUGGUACUGAGACACGGACCAGACUCCUACGGGAGGCAGCAGUGAGGAAUUUUGGUCAAUGGACGCAAGUCUGAACCAGCCAUGUCGCGUGAAGGAGGACGGCCCUAAGGGUUGUAAACUUCUUUUGCAGUGGAAUAAAGUUUGCCACGUGUUGGCGAUUUGCAAGUACGCUGCGAAUAAGGAUCGGCUAACUCCGUGCCAGCAGCCGCGGUAAUACGGAGGAUCCGGGCGUUAUCCGGAUUUAUUGGGUUUAAAGGGUGCGCAGGCGGGGAAUUAGGUCGGCGGUGAAAUUUCGGGGCUCAACCUCGACAGUGCCGUUGAAACCGUUUCUCUUGAGUGCGGAUGAGGUAGGCGGAAUUUGUGGUGUAGCGGUGAAAUGCGUAGAUAUCACAAGGAACACCGAUUGCGGAGGCAGCUUACUAAACCGUUACUGACGCUCAUGCACGAAGGCGUGGGGAUCAAACAGG
rnacentral:rRNA from 1 species